rnacentral:rRNA from 1 species
CCUACGGGUGGCAGCAGUGGGGAAUAUUGGACAAUGGGCGAAAGCCUGAUCCAGCCAUGCCGCGUGUGUGAAGAAGGCCUUCGGGUUGUAAAGCACUUUCAGUGGGGAAGAAAGCCUUGGGGCUAAUACCCUCGAGGAAGGACAUCACCCACUGAAGAAGCACCGGCUAACUCCGUGCCAGCAGCCGCGGUAAUACGGAGGGUGCGAGCGUUAAUCGGAAUUACUGGGCGUAAAGCGCGCGUAGGCGGUCUGAUAAGCCGGUUGUGAAAGCCCCGGGCUCAACCUGGGAACGGCAUCCGGAACUGUCAGGCUAGAGUGCAGGAGAGGAAGGUAGAAUUCCCGGUGUAGCGGUGAAAUGCGUAGAGAUCGGGAGGAAUACCAGUGGCGAAGGCGGCCUUCUGGACUGACACUGACGCUGAGGUGCGAAAGCGUGGGUAGCAAACAGGAUUAGAUACCCCUGUAGUC